CUUGUGGCAGCUUCACACACAUUCCCGGACUUCAACAAGACCAACAACUUCCUGCGUUAAAAAUGACGCUACUUUGUAAUCUUAUGCUGGGACUUUGUUGCCUGGCCAUCAUCAUGACAAGAAAACAUUUAUGCCAAGGUGCAGUGUACUUAAGUGGAGACACCGGUACAUAUGUGUGGAUCCUAAACCUCGCAAGAUGCACAAACUUGUUGAACGCUUGUGCAACAGGAAAGUUCAACAAGGAAUGAGAAAGAAUGGCUAACUUCCCAGGAAGAAGAACAGUAUCUGAACAUCUGCACAAAAAUGAAUUACCGUAGUUUUCGGGUCAUAAGUCGCUACUUUUUUCCGACACUGUGAACACUGCGGCUUAUACGGACGUGCGGCUAAUGCAUUUUUUUUUUCAUGCGGCCAAAAACAUUUUGCCUGGUAACAGUAGACCAAUAAAAUUGAUAAGUAGUAUAUAUACGGUAUAUAUUUUUACCGGUUGUUAAGAGACGUUGUAAUGUUGUUUGUGCACUGUUCCGUAAAAAAACC
ensembl:lncRNA